GAUGAGCGCUAGCGACAGGCCUAACACAUGCAAGUCGAGGGGUAACGAUGGUAGCUUGCUACCAGGCGACGACCGGCGCACGGGUGAGUAACGCGUAUGCAACCUUCCUUUAACAGGAGAAUAGCCCCCGGGAACGGGGAUUAAUGCUCCAUAGUAAUUAUUUGCCACCUGACAGAUAAUUUAAAGUUCCGACGGUUAAAGAUGGGCAUGCGUGACAUUAGCCAGUUGGCGGGGUAACGGCCCACCAAAGCAACGAUGUCUAGGGGUUCUGAGAGGAAGGUCCCCCACACUGGUACUGAGGCACGGACCAGACUCCUACGGGAGGCAGCAGUGAGGAAUAUUGGUCAAUGGACGCAAGUCUGAACCAGCCAUGUCGCGUGCAGGAUGACUGCCCUAUGGGUUGUAAACUGCUUUUGUACGGGAAGAGAUAUACUUACGUGUAAGUAUUUGCCGGUACCGUACGAAUAAGCAUCGGCUAACUCCGUG
rnacentral:rRNA from 1 species